rnacentral:rRNA from 1 species
CCUACGGGAGGCUGCAGUGGGGAAUAUUGGACAAUGGGGGCAACCCUGAUCCAGCCAUGCCGCGUGUGUGAAGAAGGCCCUCGGGUUGUAAAGCACUUUCAGUGAGGAAGAACGCCUGGUGGUUAAUACCCAUCAGGAAAGACAUCACUCACAGAAGAAGCACCGGCUAACUCCGUGCCAGCAGCCGCGGUAAUACGGAGGGUGCGAGCGUUAAUCGGAAUUACUGGGCGUAAAGCGCGCGUAGGUGGCUUGAUAAGCCGGUUGUGAAAGCCCCGGGCUCAACCUGGGAACGGCAUCCGGAACUGUCAAGCUAGAGUGCAGGAGAGGAAGGUAGAAUUCCCGGUGUAGCGGCGAAAUGCGUAGAGAUCGGGAGGAAUACCAGUGGCGAAGGCGGCCUUCUGGACUGACACUGACACUGAGGUGCGAAAGCGUGGGUAGCAAACAGGAUUAGAUACCCCAGUAGUC